GUGCUGGUGGUGCAGAGGUUAGCACGCGACCACAUAUAGAGGCUAUAGUCCUCAAAGCGGCCGUUGUGGGUUCGAGUCCCAGACCCAGCGACC